rnacentral:rRNA from 1 species
UACGGGGGGGGCAAGCGUUGUUCGGAAUUACUGGGCGUAAAGGGCUCGUAGGCGGCCUGCUAAGUCGAACGUGAAAUCCCCGGGCUCAACCCGGGAACUGCGUCCGAGACUGGCGGGCUUGAAUCCGGGAGAGGGAUGCGGAAUUCCAGGUGUAGCGGUGAAAUGCGUAGAUAUCUGGAGGAACACCGGUGGCGAAGGCGGCAUCCUGGACCGGCAUUGACGCUGAGGCGCGAAAGCCAGGGGAGCAAAGCGGG